AUUGAUUCUCGAUAUCUGUUCUUAUCAGUUUAACAUCGGAUACGUCAUCUAUCCGAGGACAAUGUAUUCCAUCAAUUUUUGGAGUGGGAGCUGGAAUAGAAGCUUGCUUUGUGUACUCCAUGCAUUGUUUCCCUGGUCCCUGGGUGUUGAACAGGGUUGAUACA
ensembl:snRNA U2 U2 spliceosomal RNA